UGCAUAUAAUAUGGAAUGUUGCACUCUAUGCUAUGAUCUUCCGGAGGGAGAUAGUUAAUUCGUAAAGCCUAUCAACUAUGCGAUAAUACGCUAAUAAAGAUACUCACGAAUUCUGAAACAUGACGCACUUCAUACGUGCUUUUCAUAACAUAGAAAGGCUGCUUAAUUCCAUUACAAUAGCAAAUGCAAACAGGUAGUCCACUGUUUGCUUAUUGACACCAAAACACAGGAGCUAAGAGUGCAGCUUAUUCAAUUCAUCCGACUAGUUUUUCUUCGCGAACUGAGCCUGAAGCCAGUCGAUGGUCUUCUUGUCCACUUGGAAAGCCUUGGCGAGGAUUUCAUCCGAGAUGGGGGGAUUCGACCCGAACACAGCAUCGGCGAUGGUGAUGGUGCCAGGGUUUUGGCUGCUGAGAGCACCGAUGGCGAAGGUGUUGGUGUGCCCAGGGUUGAACUGGAAGUGGAUGAGGCCUUGGGGGAACACAAACACAUCACCCUUCUUCAGCAUCUUGGUGAAGAGACGGUUGCCGUCGUCGCUGUUGGAUGUGACGAAGCCGACCAAGAGCUGUCCCUCUAUGACGGUGAGGAUCUCGGUGGCACGGGGGUGAGUGUGGGGCGGGUUGAGGCCAUUGGGGAUGUAGUCGAUGCGAACCAUGGAGAUGCCGAGGGUGUUGAGCCCUGGAAUCUGGAUCACGUUGGCAGGCGUGACAUUGAACCCGAAAUUGUUCUUUCCUGUAUCGCCGGGCAUGUCGAGGCCAGAAAGAGAGAAGUCGUCGGCUUUCACAACCAUGGGGUCCUUGCAGACGAAUCCAUUCACCCGCACUGCAACAGCAGAAGGAAGAAGCAAACUCGGUCGGUAAACAUGCAUCAGGAGAACAAACGCACCGAAGGAAAUUAAUCUGGAUACUAUGAAUACCUUUAGACAUCAUAUCUGCGACACAGAAGUCUUGAAGUUGGCUAGGAUCGGAAGCCAUUGCAAGAGAGGAAGCCAUGGCGAGGAGAACAAGGAGAAACAUUUCGGCGGCCAUCUGUAAUCUCUUAGAUGGAUGGGAUUACCUGGUGCCGUGAUACAGUGGCCUGGAAGAGACGGGUAUAUAUAGAGAAGCAGGCUCUGAAACAUUCAUGAUCAUUAGGUGAAGGAGAUGAAAAGUAUACCAUGUUAGGUUGCUUUCUUCUUGCAAUAUAUUUUCUAUAGCCGUCACCUCGUACGAGAUCCAUAUGAUGCACAGUAACCAUUAAAUUUGUUGACGUGUCUCAGUAACCUAAUCCAUGACCAUUUUAUAUGUAUAUAUAUAAUGAUGGAGCUUUUAGUUAGAUCAUGCUGUAGUGUAAAAUGGACUCUUACGUUCGACUGCAUAAUCCACCACGUGAGAUUUUUGUGACGACCUUACGCUACCAAACAAGAGGAGAAGUCAGCAAAGAUGUGGCAGCUGAACAGAACAAGCUAAGGACAGGUAGAAAGAACAAGAAGCCAAAGAUGUGAUUACCAAUUUGACCUUGUCGGGUCUUGUGUACUGCUACGGCUGAUACCGUGUAUUAUAAUUAAGGUGUUCUACGUCAUCUCCGACUAUUUUCAUCACACUGAGACGUCGCGUGCAUGUUGCAAAGAAGUAUGUAAAUACGUAAGUUCUUAAGAGAUUAUAAGUUGAUAUAAUGCUGUCCAAGAAUAGUAAGCAUGUUGAUAGUUGCCUCUACGUUAAACGCUUAUGGGAUCCUAAGUUAUUAAGAGAUCAUAAGAGAUUUUAAAAAUACUAAAUCUUCGUAUAUAGGUAUACAAGAAUAUUGUACGAUUUAGAUAAAAUCAAUUAUAUUCGUGAUAAAAAUCAAUGAGGUUAGGUGAGAUAAAAUAUUUUUUUUAAUUAAAUAUCUAAAGUAAAAUUAACAUAUCAACAUUACAUUGUUCACAUAAAAUUUAUAAUCAUAUUAUCUAUAAUACGAAAAAAAAAUUAUGUCAAAAUUUAAAAUCAAAUAAUAAUGGAUCUAAAUAAUAUUACGAUGCAUACCUUUCGUUGUUAUUUAGAAGAAUAAAUAUUAUCUGAUCUACAGGCGUAUCAUCGUCGGAUCUAAAUGAAAUACUUCUAUUUAGCCCUUAAGAUCAUAUCUAUUUAUAAACAAAAACAAAGAGUCUAAGAUAAGAUAUUAGAAGAAUUCCUCCCAUAAGGAUAUCCUUGGAAUCCUACUAUAAUAUGAAUUUUUUUUUUAUUAAUCAAUAAUCAUAAUCAGAAUUCAAUCAUAUCUAUAAUAUAUUUUACCUAAUUAAAUAUGACCACACAAUCUAACACUCAAUCAUAAAUCCACGAAUCAUAAAUCCAUAAAAAACCAGAAUUUUUGAACUCAUUUCAACCGAGUUCCCAAAAAGUUUAUUAAGUAAAUAAGAUAUUAUUAUGAAUACAAAACAUUUUAAAGUUUUAUAGAUGAUAAUUCUUUUCUAGAAGGUUCUGCCAGCGAGGAUGAAUAAAAAAAAAAGAAAAAUAUCGAUAUAAUAUUUGUAAUUUAUAUAAAUAUAAACAUUUUUCGUCCAUCCAACUCAGCGACCUCUCUGGCAAUCAGAAAGAUUUCAAUAACGAUCAAACAAAGGCUAAUCGAUUAUUUCAGUCAUCAGAUUUUGGUGGCAACGACAUGUUACCAAACACCAUAAAGAAGCUCUCAAAGUCCGACCACGAGACAAGACAAAGUUGCCAGUACGAAUCCGUCUCCGUUCUUCGACCUCGUUCCAUACUGUAUAUUACGAUCGAAGUGAACUGUGUCAUCUUCAACUAUUUCACCAUCACACUGUUUAUAUAUUAUUAUGGUCUAUUUGUGAUCACAACAUAAGAGUUCAAAUUCAUAAUUAUAUUUCAUUUUAGUAAAUGAAUAAAUUGGAGUGAUUGAUACCGCCGGUUAUAGGUGGAUGCAAUCGAGCCAUAUACUACUACUGAACUUUGUAGAUCCCAUGUCAUACAAGUCAAGACAAAAGCACUCCUUUCGGGAAUUCUUGGUGAUGACUUGUUGAAGUUAUGAUCGUGUAUACAAUAUCUCAUGUUUCAGUCAUAAUAUUUGCAUAAAUUGACUUAUUACCGGUAUAUUUUAGUAAAGUUGUCUGCAUAGAUAUAUAAAGUUCAUGAACCUGAGGGAGGAUAAACAUAAGGUGGAUAAAGAAGUAUGCAUAUAUAUAUAUAAUAUGAGAUAUUACACUUUUUGAGGAUGCUGCACUCCAUAUAAUCUAUAAUCUUCCAGGUGGGAAAUACUAUCAUAUGAUCUAAAUAUUGAAAUAUGACUCAUGGAUUUCUUUCUUAAAAAUCAAGUUUUAUUUAUUAUAUUUAAUGACGUGUUUAUAUGAAAUUUGCAACAGUACACCAAUCGUAUGUCAAUAGAGAUGACUCGAGAAUUCUGAAACAUGACACACUUCAUACGUACUUUUCAUAACAUAGAAAGGUCUCUUAAUUCCAUUACAAUAGCAAACGCAAACAGGUAGUCCACUGUUUGCUUAUUCACACCAAAACACACGAGCUAAGAGUGCAGCUUAAUUCAUUCCUCCGACUAGUUUUUCUUCGCGAACUGAGCCUGAAGCCAGUCGACAAGCUUCUUGUCCACUUGGAAAGCCUUGGCGAGGAUUUCAUCCGAGAUGGGGGGAUUCGCCCCGAACACAGCAUCGGCGAUUGUGAUGGUGCCGGGGUUUUGGCUACUGAGAGCACCGAUGGCGAAGGUGUUGGUGUACCCAGGGUUGAACUGGAAGUGGAUGAGGCCUUGAGGGAACACAAACACAUCACCCUUCUUCAGCAUCUUGGUGAAGAGGCGGUUGUCGGUGUUGGAUGUGACGAAGCCGACUAAGAG
rnacentral:lncRNA from 1 species